rnacentral:rRNA from 1 species
UACGUAGGGUCCGAGCGUUGUCCGGAAUUACUGGGCGUAAAGAGCUCGUAGGUGGUUUGUCGCGUUGUUCGUGAAAACUCACAGCUUAACUGUGGGCGUGCGGGCGAUACGGGCAGACUAGAGUACUGCAGGGGAGACUGGAAUUCCUGGUGUAGCGGUGGAAUGCGCAGAUAUCAGGAGGAACACCGGUGGCGAAGGCAAUGUUCUGGCUCGUUUCUGACGCUCAGGUGCGAAAGCCAGGGGAGCGAACAGG